rnacentral:lncRNA from 1 species
UGUGUACUACUCCCUUCACAGAACAGCGCAAACUGGCUCUAACCAGAAUAGAAAAAGGAGUGGGAGGCCCCGGUGCACAACUGAGCAAGAGGACAAGUACAUUAGAGUGUCUAGUUUGAGAAACAGACGCCUCACAAGUCCUCAACUGGCAGCUUCAUUAAAUAGUACCUGCAAAACACCAGUCUCAAUGUCAACGGUGAAGAGGCGACUCUGGGAUGCUGGCCUUCUAGGCAGAGUUGCAAUAGAAAAAGCCAUAUCUCAGACUGACCAAUAAAAAGAAAAGAUUAAGAUGGGCAAAAGAACACAGACAAUUGACAGAGGAAGAUUGGAAAAAAGUGUUACGGACAGACAAAUCUAAGUUUGAGGUGUUCGGAUCACAAAGAAGAACAUUCAUGAGACGGUGAAAAAAUGAAAAGAUGCUGGAGGAGUGUUUGACGCCAUCUGUCAUCAUGGUAGAGGCAAUGUGAUGGUCUGGGGCUGAUUUGGUGGUGGUAAAGUGGGAGAUUUAUACAGGGUUAAAGGGGUCUUGAAGAAGGAAGGCUAUCACUCCAUUUUGCAACGCCAUGCCAUACCCUGUGGACGGCGACUAAUUGGAGCCAAUUUCCUCCUACAACAGGACAAUGACCCAAAGCACAGCUCCAAACUAUGCAAGAACGAUUUAGGGAAGAAGCAGUCAGCUGGUAUUCUGUCUAUAAUGGAGUGGCCAGCACCGUCACCGGAUCUCAACCCUAUUGAGCUGUUGUGGGAGCAGCUUGACCGUAUGGUACGUAAGAAGUGCCCAUCAAGCCAUUCCAACUUGUGGGAGGUGCUUCAGGAAGCAUUGGGGUGAAAUCUCUUCAGAUUACCUCAACAAACUGACGACUAGAAUACCAAAGGUCUGCAAAGCUGUAAUUGCUGCAAAUUAAGGAUUCUUUGACAAAAGCAAAGUUUGAAGGACACAAUUAUUAUUUCAAUAAAAAAAUCAUUAUUUAUAACCUUGUCAAUGUCUUGACUAUAUUUCCUAUUCAUUUUUCAACUCAUUUCAUGUAUGUUUUCAUGGAAAAUAAGGACAUUUCUAAGUCACAGAUCAUUUAGAGGAGGCUGGGUUGCUGUAGUUUAUCACAGAUCAUUUAGAGGAGGCUGGGUUGCAGUAGUUUAUCACAGAUCAUUUAGAGGAGGCUGGGUUGCUGUAGUUUAUUACAGAUCAUUUAGAGGAGGCUGGGUUGCUGUAGUUUAUUACAGAUCAUUUAGAGGAGGCUGGGUUGCAGUAGUUUAUUACAGAUCAUUUAGAGGAGGCUGGGUUGCAGUAGUUUAUUACAGAUCAUUUAGAGGAGGCUGGGUUGCUGUAGUUUAUCACAGAUCAUUUAGAGGAGGCUGGGUUGCUGUAGUUUAUCACAGAUCAUUUAGAGGAGGCUGGGUUGCUGUAGUUUAUUACAGAUCAUUUAGAGGAGGCUGGGUUGCUGUAGUUUAUCACAGAUCAUUUAGAGGAGGCUGGGUUGCUGUAGUUUAUCACAGAUCAUUUAGAGGAGGCUGGGUUGCAGUAGUUUAUUACAGAUCAUUUAGAGGAGGCUGGGUUGCUGUAGUUUAUCACAGAUCAUUUAGAAGGAGGCUGGGUUGCUGUAGUUUAUCACAGAUCAUUUAGAGGAGGCUGGGUUGCUGUAGUUUAUCACAGAUCAUUUAGAGGAGGCUGGGUUGCAGUAGUUUAUCAGAGAUCAUUUAGAGGAGGCUGGGUUGCUGUAGUUUAUCACAGAUCAUUUAGAAGGAGGCUGGGUUGCUGUAGUUUAUCACAGAUCAUUUAAUUCCAAACAAAAUGGGGUGAUUAUUCUGAAAAACAAAAUACUUGUAAUGUUGAAGCAACACUCUGAUGAGUCCGGCAGUCUUAUCUGCAUUGAGGCUCUUAUAAAUGGGACUAAGGUAGUGUUAUGCAACAUUAAUGCUCCCAACAAGGAGGACCCUGAUGUUUUUCAUGACGUCAACGUUAUACUAGGAAAUAUGGAGGGGCAGAUCGUCCUUCCUGGAGACUUCAACCUUCAUCUAACGGGCAGAUCGUCCUUCCUGGAGACUUUAACCUUCAUCUAUAAUGGGCAGAUCGUCCUUAAUUGAGAAUUUGACCAAGUGAUGGACAAUAUGAUUGACAGAAGUCAAUUUACAGGUAACUCCAUGCCAAAGGAUAGACUUGCAAUACAUAUGCUAGCAGAAGAUAUGGGCCUUACAGACAUAUGGAGAUCAGUCCAUCCUAAUGAUAGAGAAUAUACUUUUUUCUCCCACUGUCAUAAGACACACUCCAGAAAAGAUUUCUUCCUGAUAUCCAAUUUCAUGGUUAAUAAUGUGAUUGAUUGCAAGAUUGGUCCCAUUGUCCUCACAGAUCAUGCUAUAGUAGAGUUACAUGUUGAUAUAAACUCAGUUUUGAUAUAAAUGUGAGGAAGGGUAGAUUUAGACUGAACACCAUGCUGUUACAAGAUGAGAUAUUUAGCCAGUCACUAGCAGAUGAUCUUAGAUCCUUUUUUGAGAUCAACAUACAGUGCCAGUCAAAAGUUUGGACACACCUACUCAUUCCAGGGUUUUUUCUUUAUUUCUACUAUUUUCUACCUUGUAGAAUAAUAGUGAAGACAUCAGGUGUAAAAUAACACAUGUAGAAUCAUGUAGUAACUAACAAAAGUGAUACACAAAUAAAAAUAUAUAUUUUAUAUUUGAGAUUCUUCAAAGUAGCCAUCCUUUGCCUUGAUGAUAGCUUUGCACACUUUUGGCAUUCUCUCAACCAGCUUCAUGAGGUAGUCACCUGGAAUGCAUUUCAAUUAACAGGUGUGGCUUGUUAAAUAUUUAUUUGUGGAAUUUAUUUCCUUCUUAAUGCGUUUUAACCAAUCAGUUGUAUUGUGACAAGGUAGAGGUGUUAUACAGAAGAUAGCCCUAUUUGGUAAAAGGAAAGGAAAGUAAGACCCAGAGUUACGUCUGCUGCAGAGGAUACGUUCAUUAGAGUUACCAGCCUCAGAAAUUGCAGCCCAAAUAAAUGCUUCACAGAGUUCAAAUAACAGACACAUCUCAACAUCAACUGUUCAGAGGAGACUGUGUGAAUCAGGCCUUCGUGGUCAAAUUGCUGCAAAGGAACCACUACUUAAGGACACCAAUAAGAAGAGACUUGCUUGGGCCAAGAAACAUGAGCAAUUAGACCAAUGAAAAUAUUUCCUUUGGUCUGAUGAGCCCAAAUUUGAGAUUUUUGGUUCCAACCGUCGUGUCUUUGUGAGACUCAGAGUAGGUGAACGGAUGAUCUCCGCAUGUGUGGUUCCCACUGUGAAGCAUGGAGGAGGUGGUGUGAUGGUGCUUUGCUGGUGACACUGUCAGUGAUUUAUUUAGAAUUCAAGGCACACUUAACCAGCAUGCUACCACAGCAUUCUGCAGCGAUACGCCAUCCCAUCUGGUUUGAGCUUAGUGGGACUAUAAUUUGUUUUUCAACAGGACAAUGACCCAACACACCUCCAGGCUGUGUAAGGGCUAUUUGACCAAGAAGGAGAGUGAUGGAGUGCUGCAUCAGAUGACCUGGUCUCCACAAUUACCUGACCUCAACUCAAUUGAGAUGGUUUGGGAUGACUUGGAUCGCAGAGUGAAGGAAAAGCAUCCAACAAGUGCUCAGCAUAUGUGGGAACUCCUUCAAGUCUGUUGGAAAAGCAUUCCAGGUGAAGCUGGUUGAGAGAAUGCCAAGAGUGUGCAAAGCUGUCAUCAAGGCAAUGGGUGGCUACUUUGAAAAAUCUAAAAUCUAUUUUGAUUUGUUUAACACAUUUUUGGUUACUACAUGGUUCCAUAUGUGUUAUUUCAUAGCUUUGAUGUCUUCACUUUUAUUCUACAAUGUAGAAAAUAGUAAAAAUAAACAAAAACCCUUGAA